GACGAACGCUGGCGGCGUGCCUAAUACAUGCAAGUAGAACGCUGAAGGAGGAGCUUGCUUCUCUGGAUGAGUUGCGAACGGGUGAGUAACGCGUAGGUAACCUGCCUGGUAGCGGGGGAUAACUAUUGGAAACGAUAGCUAAUACCGCAUAAUAUUUACUAUUGCAUGAUAGUCAGUUGAAAGGUGCAACUGCACCACUACCAGAUGGACCUGCGUUGUAUUAGCUAGUUGGUGGGGUAACGGCUCACCAAGGCGACGAUACAUAGCCGACCUCAGAGGGGGAUCGGCCACACUGGGACUGAGACACGGCCCAGACUCCUACGGGAGGCAGCAGUAGGGAAUCUUCGGCAAUGGACGGAAGGCUGACCGAGCAACGCCGCGUGAGGGAAGAAGGUUUUCGGAUCGUAAAGCUCUGUUGUAAGAGAAGAAAGAGUGUGAGAGUGGAAAGCUCACACUGUGACGGUAUCUUACCAGAAAGGGACGGCUAACUACGUG
rnacentral:rRNA from 1 species